ACACACACACACACACACACACACACACACACACACACACACAGUCUUUCGGUUGGUUGUUUUGGGGUUACUCUCGUCAAUUUGUUCUUCAGUGGGGAAAAUAAAUGCAAUUGUAGGUCUGGAGAUUGACCAGUCUAAAUGUUUCCACUUCUCUCAGAUGAUGAAUUCCUUUGUUGUAUUUCGGGGUUAUUAUCUUGAUGCAAAGUGAAGGAUCUUCAAAUCACUUUGGUUACGCUCUUAAAUUGGUCGACAAAAUGUUUCUGGAGACCUUUUAACACAUUUUGCUGUUGCCAUCAUUGAAUAAAUCAUUCAUGUUGUUUAAUGA